UACGGAGGGUGCAAGCGUUAUCCGGAUUCACUGGGUUUAAAGGGUGCGUAGGUGGGUUGGUAAGUCAGUGGUGAAAUCUCCGGGCUUAACCUGGAAACUGCCAUUGAUACUAUCAAUCUUGAAUACCUUGGAGGUGAGCGGAAUAUGUCAUGUAGCGGUGAAAUGCUUAGAUAUGACAUAGAACACCAAAUUGCGAAGGCAGCUCACUACACGGUCAUUGACACUGAGGCAACGAAAGCGUGGGGGAUCAAACAGG
rnacentral:rRNA from 1 species